AGACCUUCUUACGAAGGUAUGCUUAAAGAGGGGCUUGCGCCACAUUAGUUAGUUGGUAGAGUAAAAGCCUACCAAGACGAUGAUGUGUAGCUGGACUGAGAGGUUGAACAGCCACAUUGGGACUGAGACACGGCCCAAACUCCUACGGGAGGCAGCAGUAGGGAAUUUUCGGCAAUGGAGGAAACUCUGACCGAGCAACGCCGCGUGAACGAUGAAGUAUUUCGGUAUGUAAAGUUCUUUUAUUGAAGAAGAAAAAGUAGUGGAAAAACUAUAUUGACGUUAUUCAAUGAAUAAGCCCCGGCUAACUAUGUGCCAGCAGCCGCGGUAAGACAUAGGGGGCGAGCGUUAUCCGGAAUUAUUGGGCGUAAAGGGUGCGUAGGCUGUUAGAUAAGUCUAUAAUUUAAUUUCAGUGCUUAACGCUGUCUUGUUAUAGAAACUGUCUUGACUAGAGUGAGAUAGAGGCAAGCGGAAUUCCAUGUGUAGCGGUAAAAUGUGUAAAUAUAUGGAGGAACACCAGAAGCGUAGGCGGCUUGCUGGGUCUUUACUGACGCUGAGGCACGAAAGCGUGGGUAGCAAACAGGAUUAGAUACCCUGGUAGUCCACGCCGUAAACGAUGAGUACUAAGUGUCGGGGUAAAACUCGGUACUGAAGUUAACACAUUAAGUACUCCGCCUGAGUAGUACGUACGCAAGUAUGAAACUUAAAGGAAUUGACGGGACUCCGCACAAGCGGUGGAUCAUGUUGUUUAAUUCGAAGAUACACGAAAAAUCUUACCAGGUCUUGACAUACUCUGCAAAGCUAUAGAAAUAUAGUGGAGGUUAUCAGGGAUACAGGUGGUGCAUGGGUUGUCGUCAGUUCGUGUCGUGAGAUGUUAGGUUAAGUCCUAAAACGAACGCAACCCUUGUCGUUAAUUGCCAGCACAUAAUGGUGGGGACUUUAACGAGACUGCCAAUUAAACAUUGGAGGAAGGUGAGGAUUACGUCAAAUCAUCAUGCCCCUUAUGAUCUGGGCUACAAACGUGAUACAAUGGCUGUGACAAAGAGUAGCUGAAACGCGAGUUUUUAGCCAAUCUCAAAAAAGCAGUCUCAGUUCGGAUUGAAGUCUGUAACUCGACUUCAUGAAGUUGGAAUCGCUAGUAAUCGCGAAUCAGCAUGUCGCGGUGAAUACGUUCUCGGGGUUUGUACACACCGCCCGUCAAACCACGAAAGUUAGCAAUGCCCGAAAGCAGUAGCUUAACUUCGCAAGAAGAGGGAACUGUCU
rnacentral:rRNA from 1 species